UGCCCAGCAACUCCUAUCCGUACCUCUUCGUGGUACUGGCCUAGGUACGAGCAACCUUAGGAAAGAUCGGGUAACCAACUCCUGGGGGGAACUGUGCUGGGUCGUAUGCUGACACAGAAGG
rnacentral:ribozyme from 1 species